rnacentral:rRNA from 1 species
GACGAACGCUGGCGGCGUGCUUAACACAUGCAAGUCGAACGGUGAUGCUCCAGCUUGCUGGAGUGGAUCAGUGGCGAACGGGUGAGUAACACGUGAGCAACCUGCCCCAGACUCUGGAAUAAGCGCUGGAAACGGCGUCUAAUACUGGAUACGAAACUGGCCCGCAUGGGCAGGGUUGGAAAAUUUCUGCGGUUUGGGAUGGGCUCGCGGCCUAUCAGCUUGUUGGUGAGGUAGUGGCUCACCAAGGCGACGACGGGUAGCCGGCCUGAGAGGGCGACCGGCCACACUGGGACUGAGACACGGCCCAGACUCCUACGGGAGGCAGCAGUGGGGAAUAUUGCACAAUGGGCGAAAGCCUGAUGCAGCGACGCCGCGUGAGGGAUGACGGCCUUCGGGUUGUAAACCUCUUUCAGCAGGGAAGAAGCGAAAGUGACGGUACCUGCAGAAGAAGCACCGGCUAACUACGUG